rnacentral:rRNA from 1 species
UACGGGGGGGGCAAGCGUUGUUCGGAAUUACUGGGCGUAAAGGGCUCGUAGGCGGCCAACUAAGUCAGACGUGAAAUCCCUCGGCUUAACCGGGGAACUGCGUCUGAUACUGGAUGGCUUGAGAUUGGGAGAGGGAUGCGGAAUUCCAGGUGUAGCGGUGAAAUGCGUAGAUAUCUGGAGGAACACCGGUGGCGAAGGCGGGUCUCUGGGCAACAACUGACGCUGAGGAGCGAAAGCGUGGGGAGCGAACAGG